UCGGGGCUUUCUAUGAGAGGCUGUGGCCAGAGAGGACCCUGGGCUGCCUGGACAGUCAGGACCUGGCUGUGGCCGAUGGCCACCAACACUCAGAUCCGGCCGGAGGGACACAAAGGGACAUGGGAGCGAGGUCAAGGGGCUCACAGGGGAGGAACGUGAGAUGCGGGAGGAAUCACGCACACCAGCAGGUGCCGGCAUUUCUAAAGGCGCCUGGGCAGCCUGGCUCAUCCACCCUCAGGAGCGAGCAUCGCCUGACACAGGGCACUUAGUGUCCACCACCAAGUACCCUGUUGUCCCCACCAACCCCAAGACACAAGAAGUCACCCCAGAGCCAGCCCCAGAGCGCUGGGAGGGGGGCACUCACCCGUGUGUGAGGUAGGGGUGAGGGGUGUGGGGGGAGCCACUUCCUGCGUCCCCCGCAGGCGGCCGGAGGCUGUGGAAGGGAGGCCGCGGGUAGCCGGGUUCCGCGAGUGUCUCAGCCGCUCCUCUCGGUCCCUGCGCUCCCGCUCGGCGUCAUCGGCGGCCCGGCUGGCACCCUGAGGAGGCAGGAGGUGAGGCCGGAAUGGAACCAGCUUUGGCAGAAAGCAACCCUAGGUCCUAGGCUGCCCCGGCCACGUGAGAAAAUACCUACCAAAGGGCACUGGGACGAGACUGCCUGCAAAGCCCCCCACAGGCUGCACGUUUCUCCUCAUGGGAUGACAGCAUCAUCCCCACAAGGGGUCAGAGCCAGGCCUCUCAGCUCCCCCAACAAUCGAAAAAACCCCACUCGCCAUGGCAUCUCCCUGUGGGCUCAGAACUUCCUUAAACUUCCAAAUGGGCAGCAGCUACCCCCUGCUGCUCUGUGAACAUGCUCACUAACACGUGCAGAAAGAGGAGAGGGACAGGAACCAUCGGAGGCCAAAGACAGGCCCCAAAUGGUGACAGCUGGGGAGGAAAGCGGGGUGGGGAUGAGAGCGUUUGGUCGGACGAGGAGUACACUCAGGGUCCGGACCCUGCAGCCUCCAACAGCCUGUGCAGGUGUGGUGGCGUGGCCAGCAGCCGGCAGCCGGAUCUGUGCUGCACUAUCCAGAUGCACGGGGGUGGGGAGGUCAGAUUUUAAGCCGAGACAGCAACCUAUGAAAAAGCAGAUUCUAACUGCCAAUGCUGUGCGGCAGGGGCCUGCAAACUACAGCCCCGGGGCCAAACCCAGGUGCCACUUCUUCCUGCAAGUACAGCUCAUUGGACACAGCCACGUUCACCAGGCAACACACAGACCGACACACCUGCGGCUGCAGCACCGUGCGGCCAGCACCGCCCAGACUCCUCAUGCUGCCAUUUACGGAAAACGCUGGCCUAGCCUGCUCUGAGGGCCGGGUGACUCUAAUGCCGCAGGAGGGUCGCUCUGAUUCCUCCCGAGGCAGCACAGCCCCGGCAGAGGGACUGAUCUGCCCUGCCGAGUGCACCCCUCCCGGCACCUGGGCCCCGAGGCUCGGGCCUGCCUCGCCUGCCAUCUCUCCGGGGCCUCCAAGUACUCCCCACGCUGAUGGGCACUUGGCAAGUAAGUCAAGAUGAACAGAGUGCACCCCUCCCAGCAUCUGGAGACCCCGCCCCUCCCUGGCCCCUGCACGACUACUGGACAAGGCUGCCGUUUUUGUACCCUCCCAAGAGGCAGUUCUGCUCCUCCAUCAGACUGCUGCCUGGAAAAGCUCCAAAUUCUAUUUAAAACUGACAACAAAACAGUAAGUUUUUAAUGAAGGAACACAACAGUUCCACAGGAGCUUCAUUUCUGACAGCGGUGUCUGAAAAGUAAUUCAGCUCAGACAUGGACCCAGGGCUGGGCUGCCUGUUUUAGAGGCUCCACUGCAUACUCACACCGCAUCAAGAAAGCCACAGGGAAAAUCAGCUCAUGACAGGGUCAGUCAGGCUAGACGGGUAGCACCUCACCAGGCCCCAACCCCACUCAUCUCGUGGGCACCACGACCAUGUGGCACAGCGAAUGGGAAUGCGCACCCCCAGCCCCCACCCUCUGCCCCCAGGGCAUGCUCUGGGCCCUAGCUCCGCUUGGUGACAGGGAGGGAAGGGGCCUCCUGCUGUCCACACCCAGGAAUUCCAUGGACCCCUCUGCGUUCCCUAAUGGCGUCUUACUUCUUGGCACCCCUUUCUGGCAGGCAGACACCCACUCAGUCCAGGUCCUGCCCACUACACACUUGCCCUUCACAACCAGAGACACUCCCUAUAUGGUACAGCCCCUCAACAAGACGGCCGCCGGCCUCUCACUGACAAGCCAUCCCCCGCACACCACACUCAGCGAACGUGCUGGCAGUGCGACUUACAAAUUUGAGCAUGUUCCAGUCGAACACGUAGUCAUAGGAGAAGCCCUGGCGAUGGAACAGAUUCCGGAAAAGCUGCCGCAGGUACGAGUAGUCAGGCUUGUCGUCAAAACGCAAGGAACGGCAGAAAUUCAGGUAUGUGGCAAAUUCGGCUACAAAACAAGAAACUCAAAGCUAACUCAUGAAACCCAACUGCGACUCAAGGUGUCUCUGCCAACGUCGCUGUCUACCUCCUGCUGCUGCACACUCAAGGGGAGAAGGACAGAUGCAAAACACCUGUCAGAUUUCUAAGACCUGAAGCCUUGAGAAAGCAUCGAAAAGUAUUCAAGUCACGGCCGGGUGCGGCGGCUCACGCCUGUCACCCCAGCACUCUAGGAGGCUGAGGAGGGCGGAUCACGAGGUCAGGAGAUCAAGACCAUCCUGGCUAACACAGUGAAACCCCAUCUCUACUG
rnacentral:lncRNA from 1 species